rnacentral:lncRNA from 1 species
GCAGCGGUGAGUGCGUAUGUGUCGGAGUGCUGCAGCACCUCUGAAGUGAGACUCCACUUGUGCCUCUUCACUGCCGACAUGGACACCCCCAGCGACCCACUGCCCCCACGCCACGCUACGCGUACUGACACUGCCCAGGUGUUGCGGCAGCUGGCACACGCCGGGAAAGGCCGCUUCCACUGGAUCAGCCAGACAGGCAUCGUUGAAAGUGAUGACGUCAGCGCUCUAAUUGGAGAAAUGGAGAAGGCUGCUCGUUAUUGGCAGAAGUCAACUGGUGGACUCCUUGGCCCAGAGGGCUUCGAUCAGAGCUCCGGUUGCAGGCCAGGCUCGGGCAGGCAGCGCCCCAGUCGGGAGGGCCCAGACUGGGGGACGACAGGAGAAACUUCCCCCACCUCGACCCACCAUCCUCACACUCACACGGCUGUCGAACAGGGAUAAGGGACCAGACAGAGGCUCCCUACAGAGAACAAUAACAUGGCGGCCGACCAGUGCAAAAGCUGUUAUACCCCCAGGUGAGUCUGCUCUGCAUUUUAAAGAGCUUUUAGAAGAGCCUGUAUUCUUCUCACUGCUUGCAAUAUGACAAUACAUAAACAAUAUCUGGCAUGACAAAAAAAUAUACCAAUUGUUUUUUUGUUUUUUUUUAAUUGUCCCUCUGGUAGUCUGGAAGGGCUUAUUGUUUAGCAUUCUUAUUUUCAUCAGAGGAAAAAUAUGAAUACGAAAAUAAAAAAAAGGAAUAUUCAAAGUGGUUAUGUAAA